rnacentral:lncRNA from 1 species
UAUGAAGUCUAUCAUUUUCUAUCUUUUAUUUUAAAAUAAAGGAAUUGUAAUUUUUCUGAAAAGAAGAGAAAAUUAUUUUAAUGCAAACCCACUUUAAGUCAAGUGAGCACAAGCGAUCCUUGAACCUUACAGUCGAACUCAAUCCAACCUUAUGGUAAAGCCAUAUGUGUCUGUAUAAGACAAUCUCCAAAGGUACACCAAAUUUGAAGUAAAAUUUGGUGCAAUAAUUUACACAAAGUUUGGUGUUAAAGAGUAUUUCCAAUGGUUGGUGCUCUAAGAAAGCCCACGGACCCUUGCCAAGCCUGGAUGACACACUAUUCCCAAUCAUAAACUAUAAUGUACCCAAAUCAUGAAAAUUUUUGAAGCCACAAAUUUUGCUUUCACUAUUCAUCGGUAUAUCUUGUGAUCUAUAUGAAAGACAUACAUUAACCUCAAAU